GAUAAAGAAGUUAUUGCUGCACAGUUGCAUGUUCUUAUAAAUUGCGAUGAAGUUAAACCUUUUCUCAAUUUGUAUUAGAAAGUCCUGAGAGAUACUUACCGUGAUCUCACUGAUGAUGACAUUGAUAAACAAAUUGCUGAAGACUGUCCACGAUGGUUCAAAGGUUAUGUGAAUAGUAAUCCACAAGAGAUGUCACCGAAUCCAUUUCU